rnacentral:tRNA from 2 species
GUGACGAAAGCCGAGCGGCUAAGGCACCUGGUUGUGACCCAGGGUUUGGCGGGUUCGACUCCCGUUCGUCACCCCA